CUCAUCUUGUUGUUUAGUUAGUUAAAAAAAAAAAGGGACCAGCAAAUAAGCUUCUCUUUUUCAAGAACGAAAAACGUACAGCAAGUAUUUAAGAAUUCAAUGGUUCAUUCAUUUCAACUAAGCAAAGAGAGAAAAUUUCUUUUGGACAAAAAUGAGGCUCUCGGCAUGGCUGCUUAGCCGAGACUUGGUAUGAUCAUGGAGAAGUAUUAAAGUGUCAAGUUAUGGUGAAGAUUCAAGUAGUUAGCAAGAUUAAUAAGUCAAGUGUAUGAAGGUAAAAUUUGAUCUUCUUUUUACAUGUUUAGGAGAAUUUUAAACUUGUUUAAUUUGAUAAAGGUGUGUUGAUAUGAAUAUAAAUUGAAUCCAUGAAAUUAUGCGUGUUGAUGUUGAAGCAUGGUUGAAGCCGUGUAGAGACUGUUUGGUGUAGAAGGUGAUUAUCUACCUAAUAAAUAAGUUAUGUACAAUAUACAUAUAUUAUGUGCACGUGUGCAGCAAGUAAAUUCCCAUUCCAUGCACUUAUGGGUGAGGUGGAAAUAUAAGUGAUGAAUUGCUAAGGGGAAGCUAGGGUGGUGGCACGUGUAUAAAGGGUUGGACCCCCACAGCCCAUUUCACAAGAGACAUACAUAUAUACGGAGUGUGCAGCAUGUUUGUGAAACAAACAUUUCACAAGAAAAUGUACUAGGCUUCUUUCCUUGUAAAUUUCAACGUGUGCAACACAUACACUUUCUAAAGAUUGCUAUGUUGUUUCCUUAUGGUAUUAGCAGCAGCAAACGCAUAUAUAUAUGCAUAUACACGAUCUGCCAUGGAUAAACAAAAUUCACAUGCGGAAGCAAAUUAUGGGGGAGACGACAUAUAGGUCAUAAACACGCCAGUUUCCUCCGGAUGAUAGCAAAUUAGAGAUUUCUUCAAAGUGAAGUAAGGUGGAAGAAGAUUAUUUCUUGGUAUAUAAGGUUUAUCAUAUUAAUUGUGGAAGUUCUUGGAUGGACUGAGCUCUUGAACGACGUGAGGUACAGAUGCUCACGUUGGUAACCCGCCAGCUUAGGAGUCCUAUUCAGCUAUCUUGGAGAGCUCCCUUGUUCCGGAGCCUAGAUUUUGGUACAAAAUCUCUUGUGGUGUAUAUGUAUUUUAUCCAGGGGUACGGCGGGGCCCUGUCCCGUCAUAUGAUACUGUUGUUACUCUUAGAGGUCUGUAGACAUAUGUGUGGGUUGUGUAUGGGUUUUGUUCAGCUGUGUCUAUAUGAUGACGCUGUGAAACUUCAGAGUUCUUUUGUAAAGUUCCAUAUUGUUCGUAGUUUCAGUUUGAUUAUAUAUGAUAGGUAUGUAUACGGGUGUCCAGGUCGGGCACCAGUCACGGCCUACGGGAUUAGGUCGUGACAUGAGGUUAGAUCUUAGCACAGCCUUCCAUCCUCAGAUUGAUGGGCAGUCUGAGCGGACUAUUCAGGUCCUUGAGGAAAUACUUCGUGCAUGUGUGAUAGAUUUAUGUGGGCAUUAGGAUCAGUUCUUGCCCUUAGCUGAAUUUGCCUACAAUAAUAGCUAUCACUCAAAUAUUGAUAUGGGCCCUUUGAGGCAUUGUAUGGAAAGAGGUUUAGGUCUCAUAUUGGAUGGUUUGAUGCAUUCGAGGUGAGAUCGUGGGGCUCUUGUUAUAUCCCGUACUUUCGCGCGUUCGGGAAAAUUUGAAAUGACUUUGAUUUGUAAAGAAUAAGGUCAUAUGUUGAUUGGAAUUCACAUAUGUGUGUGUUGAUCAUGAAAAGUAUUGGUGUGGAAAUAUCGAGGAAGGUUAAGGGCAAAACUCGGAAUUUUGGAAAUUAGUUUCAUGAAUUACAAAAUAUGGCCAUAACCAAUUGGGCUAAAAAAAAAUAGGAAAAGAGGCCCAAAUGGCAUGGGGUGGCCGGCCAUAUGCUUGGCCCAAGCCCCAAAUAUUAAGUCAUGUGUUCAAAUUAAUAAAAAGGGGCCAAUUAUUCAUUAAAAUCCCCUAGAACUUUCAAGAGAUAAUGAGAGAAGUAGAGAAACAAAGAAGAAGAGAAACAAAGGGGAGCAUUUCGGCCAACCCAUGGGAAUUUGACCAUGAGAAAUCUUGUUCUAAAAAUCAUUUUCUUGUGGUAUUCCUACUAAUUCAAGGGUCCUCUACAACAUGGUAUAAUUGUUUCGGAAGAUAAGUCAUCCGUUUCGUCGUUUCCGCGUUCUAGUCAAGUGAAGAAGUUGAAGACCAAAGGUAAGAAUUCAUACCCUUUUAUGUAUUAUGAAGGCUUAU